rnacentral:rRNA from 1 species
UACGAAGGGGGCUAGCGUUGCUCGGAAUCACUGGGCGUAAAGGGUGCGUAGGCGGGUUUUUAAGUCAGAGGUGAAAUCCUGGAGCUCAACUCCAGAACUGCCUUUGAUACUGAAAGUCUUGAGUAUGGGAGAGGUGAGUGGAACUGCGAGUGUAGAGGUGAAAUUCGUAGAUAUUCGCAAGAACACCGGUGGCGAAGGCGGCCAACUGGACCAGCACUGACGCUGAGGCGCGAAAGCGUGGGGAGCAAACAGG